rnacentral:rRNA from 1 species
UACGAAGGGGGCGAGCGUUGUUCGGAUUUACUGGGCGUAAAGGGCGCGUAGGCGGCCCGUUUUGUCAGGCGUGAAAGCCCUGGGCUCAACCUGGGAACUGCGCUUGGGACGGAUGGGCUUGAGAUCGGGAGAGGAGAGUGGAAUUCCCAGUGUAGAGGUGAAAUUCGUAGAUAUUCGGAAGAACACCAGUGGCGAAGGCGACUUACUGGACACAUAUUGACGCUGAGGUGCGAAAGCGUGGGGAGCAAACAGG